UGUAAGGUGAUACCUGGAGAGAGUGUUGUACCCCAGCAUAAGCUGGUGGUUGCUGACUUCCGCUUUUGGAUUCGUGUCCAGCGGGAUAAGCGUGCCAAAGUCGCUAGAACGAAGUGGUGGAAGCUCAAUGGGGAGGUAGCUCAGGUGUUCAAGGAGAAGGUCAUUAAGGAGGGCCCUUGGGAGGAAGGAGGGGAUGCGGAUAAUGUGUGGAUGAAGACGGCGACUUGCAUUUGUAAGGUGGCCUCGGAGGAGUUUGGAGUGUCCAAGGGAAGGAGAAGCGAAGAUAAGGAUACCUGGUGGUGGAAUGAUGAUGUCCAGAAGGCG
rnacentral:rRNA from 1 species